rnacentral:rRNA from 1 species
GAUGAACGCUAGCGGCAGGCUUAAUACAUGCAAGUCGAGGGGCAGCAUGACUGUAGCAAUACAGUUGAUGGCGACCGGCAAACGGGUGCGGAACACGUACAGAACCUUCCUUCAAGCGGGGAAUAGCCCGGAGAAAUUUGGAUUAAUACCCCAUAGUAUUACGAAGUGGCAUCACUUUGUACUUAAAGAUUUAUCACUUGAAGAUGGCUGUGCGGCUGAUUAGGUAGUUGGCGGGGUAACGGCCCACCAAGCCUACGAUCAGUAACUGGUGUGCGAGAACGACCAGUCACACGGGCACUGAGAGACGGGCCCGACUCCUACGGGAGGCAGCAGUAAGGAAUAUUGGUCAAUGGACGAAAGUCUGAACCAGCCAUGCCGCGUGGAGGAUGAAGGCCCUCUGGGUUGUAAACUUCUUUUAUAUGGGACGAAAAAGGGUCUUUCUAGAUCAACUGACGGUACCAUGUGAAUAAGCACCGGCUAACUCCGUGCCAGCAGCCGCCGUAACAC